rnacentral:rRNA from 1 species
GGGCUGCAGUGAGGAAUCUUGCGCAAUGGGGGAAACCCUGACGCAGCCACGCCGCGUGGGUGAAGAAGGCCUUCGGGUCGUAAAGCCCUGUCAGGUGGGAAGAACCGCAACCUAGUCAAUACCUGGGUUGCCUGACGGUACCACCAAAGGAAGCACCGGCUAACUCCGUGCCAGCAGCCGCGGUAAUACGGAGGGUGCAAGCGUUGUUCGGAAUUACUGGGCGUAAAGCGCGUGUAGGCGGACCGAUAAGUUGGGAGUGAAAGCCCUGGGCUUAACCCAGGAAGUGCUUCCAAUACUGCCGGUCUUGAGUUCCGGAGAGGGUGGUGGAAUUCCCGGUGUAGAGGUGAAAUUCGUAGAUAUCGGGAGGAACACCAGUGGCGAAGGCGACCACCUGGACGAGAACUGACGCUGAGACGCGAAAGCGUGGGGAGCAAACAGGAUUAGAUACCCUAGUAGUC